AACCAAACCUUGUCUUGGUAACUUUUGCAGCCACAAAUUUUGGAAAUAAUGAGUACUUAAUAUUCGCUUAGCAUUUAAACAUAAAAUUAAAAACUAACCAAGGGAGUCCAAUUUGUACUUUGAAAUUAAGUUAGAAAAUUAAAUGCAACUUUUUUUGGUCUAGCUUUUCAGCUGCUCCAUCAGAAUCAUGUACUAAUUAACAGGAGCUGUGAAACUCAGUUUCUCUAUAAAACCAUAUAAUUCUGCUAGCUGAAGUUUUAAAUUAUACUUAUUGCUUCAUUUGCUAAAAAUACAUACAUAUAUAUGUACACAGAUACACAGAAAGUAUGGCUACUUGAAGAAGAUAAGUUAAUUUCUCUUCAGCCUUGUAUUCCAACACAACUUAUGUAUCAUAGGAGAUAAAAAGAUUUACUCCUGUGAAUGUAUUUUUACAAAAUAAUGUUGGGAUAAGAAUCUACUGUCUUAAAGAGUAAGAACUGUUAAGCACAAGGGAACGGAAAUAAAUAUUUUGAAGUUGUCUGCAAGUGUGAAAUAUUUUAAUUUUGGAAUUCACAGCAUAAAAGGAUGCUCAGAAGCUCCCUGUAGUUUUCCACACAGAACUGGUGGCUGAAGAGAUCCAAGCCCACAGACCAAUUGAUGUUUCUUGUUUCUAUCAGAUUGGUGCAUGUUGCUCACACAAAUCAGCUUCUGCUUGUCCUCUGCCCAAAGGUCAAAAAGAGCUGGUGGCAGUGGGUCCUUUUCUGUUCUGCUGUGGUUGAGUUGCUCAUGGAACCCAAGGACAGCAGGAAAAACCUAAAACUUUCUCUCUGGAUGAGCAGAUCAGACACUGCUCAGUGUCUAAGUGGGAACUGCUCAUGGAAUAUUCUGUUUUCAUGACAGAGGGACUGAUUUUUUUUUUUUUCAAAAGUACUAAAACCUUAUUAAAAAAAAAAAACAACCCAAAACCAAAAUAAGCACAAAAAGUGAAAACCAAAGGACAAAAGGUAUCAUGGUUCAAACUUUUUCUCACCAGGCACUUGUAUACUGGUUUUGUGAUUUGAGCGUUUGGCUAUCCAAGCUCCACACUGGUGUAUUCAAAGCUUUCUUAUGCUGAUGGCAUUCAAGGCUUUUUUGUAUGUGCAAGCCACAUCAGCAACAGUGGAUAAAAUCAAAGGAACAGAGGAAGAAAGAAAAAAUGAAUUCUGAAGAAAGAAGUGUAGAAAGGAGCAGGAGAUGGUGGUAUUUCAGUCCCUGCCUGUAGCUGAGCAUUUGAAAUUCAUAAGCACUCAGCUGACAUUCCACAAACAGAAGUACCUUUCCUUUCACUCAAUUUUUGAAUUCUCCAGAGGUAACGAGUGUUGCAAACAGUUCCUGGGUUUAGUUCUAUUAUGUGUGGUGAAUGCAUACAGCACACCCACGAUUAAGCAGAGAAAUUGAAGUCAAAGCAGGAUCUAGUUACACAUUCAAGAUGUAUCUUCUGCUCCCUCCAAUAUAUUCAUUACCUGGUAUUGUUCCACAGCUGCUGUCAUCAACAGACAUUGUGCAAUAGCAGUAAAUUGGCAUCCAUAGGGUUAUGCCGAGUUGAUAAGUCCCUCAGCAUUUGCUGGAAGUCCUUUGGAAGGGUGAGUUUCACCAUUUCUCAGCAGACUGGGUGCAGAUGGGGCCAGGGUGUGGCAAAGGCUCUUCCACUCCCAGGAGAAGCUGGAAAUUCGCUGUAGCUGUUGCUUUGCCCAAAAAGCUGUGGUUAGAAGGGAGGCACUGAACUGUCCCAUCCAUGGCUGCUAGGCCUCGCACCUGGGUUACCAUGGGAAAGGACACCUAAACCUUGGGAGAACUCAAGUCUGGGACCUCAAAGAGAAAUGAUUGCCAGGGAAGAUACAAAGCUUAUAGAGAACAGAGCCUGCCUGGAAUUUGGUAAUCAAACACUUGUGCAAAAAAGAUGUCUUCUGUGUGAGCACCAAAACAGUGAGCUCCUGAGUCCCAGGGGUGGAACUCUGGGAGAAGACUUCUGCACCUGGUUGGAUUUGGUUGGAAGGUAUGUGCCCGAUUUGCAGGGUGGCUGUUUUUAGGUGUUUUAAGGGUGGUGUGUGGCCACAGUUCCACUUUGACUGCAUGGCAGAAGGUCACACAGGGUAACUCCUGGUGGGCUGGUGAUAGGGUUGAGGCAGACAAACUUGGAUGCACAUUUGGCUUUUCCCAAGUCAAGAGCAGCAGGAGUAACCAGGCCAAGAGAGCCUGAGAGCACCUGCUCUGAGUUUCUGCAAGGUGUUUUCCCAGGAGAAACAUUUCCUUACAUUUGUCUCACCCCUGACCUAGCACCCAGGCCCACAUCUGCCCCAAAUAUCACUGUGGGGGCAGGGAGCUUUGUGCCAGCUAUCUGUGCAAGGCUGGGAAGUGGAAGUAAAUCCUGCACCUAAUCCUGCCCAGAAUUAUCCUCAUGGAGAGAGCUGUAGAGCUUAAAAUGGUGCUCAGUCACAGCUUUUUUUGUUAAAAAUCUUUCCAGAAAGAAUUCUUCUUACACACCUGGGAACUGUCCCAUUCAUUCAGCCGUGAGCCCCUCUCCCUGAUUUUGGAGAAUUCCCCAUUUUCCAAAAGCUGGAAAAAGAGCUUUUUCUCCUUCAAGUCUGGCAGAUCAUACAGCUGAAAGUAGAAAAUUGGUUCAUAUUAAUAUGUGAACAUUUUAAUUUAUGCAUCUAAUUGAUAUUAUUCCGUAAUUAAAUUAUAUUCCCACGGUGCAUAUAACAUCAGGGUUGCAGUAAUACAAAUAAUUAGUAAUUAACUCUAAUCAGAUCAGUUAGCAAAUGCCAGAUUCCAGAUGAAUAAGCUGACCAACGGUGUCUGUGGUGAGGAAAACCAAGAAAGAGGGAAGAAAAGAUAAUUUGCGUUGAUGGAUAAGGGAGGAAGUGAAAAUAACAGGAAAUCCAUUUUCAAGAUAACUCCCCUGCCAAACAAAGCAAGAAUGCAGCCUUUAAAGAUGCUCUGGUCCAUGGCCAUGAGCCUGCAGCUCAGCUGUUAGAAGAUAUUCCACUCUGACCUCUCACACCUUGCCCUGAGUCCCUCCCAAAUGCCUCUUAUCAUGUUUUGGUGCUGGACUGAAAGAGGGGCUAGUCCAGAAACAGACACAGGGCAUCUCCAGCCAAUGGAACAUUCCUCAGCUGCCCCCAGCUGACAAUUCCUUGGAGAUGAGAGGUGAUGAUGGCACGUCAGUGUCUUCCUCAAAAUGUCUCUGGCACCUUGGCCUGGGAAUUUAGAAAUGGGUUCCUACUGAGCUGCUCCCACUACCUCCAGGCAACUGCAAGGCGACUUAGGACAACUAACACAAAGCCAUGGAGAAAAAUUAAAUACAAAAAUCUGUGAAUGGGACUUCCUAUCUGAGAAUUUGAUGUUGCAAUCUGAACAGUUUUUCUUGGCUCAAGCCAGAAAAAUAUUGUGCUUUCCCUGUUCUCUCACAAAAACAAACAAACAAAGUGUUUUAAACAAUUUCAGUUUGGAUCUGACAAACAAAGUCAGUUAGAAAAAUCAAGAUGUGUUUUUGCCAGCCGAACUGCACUUGGACCAGUACCAAAUAUUUCAGACAAAUAAUUUCAAAAGGAAGUACCUGGCAUUGCAUCUCCAAAACAUCAGUGUGAAAUAUUCUGUGAUUGUGAAAGGGUUUUGUUUUUUAUUUUCUCAAUUAUAAAACGUCCUUGAAAUGAACACUUUUCUGCAGCCAAACUUCUCUGUGUUUAAAUUUUAUUUUGUGAUGAAAAAUGCUCUUAGCAAACACAAAACAAUUGCUGCUGUGUGCCAGGGUAAUGCCAACAGGUUCCUCUCUUUGAGGGCAGCAGGCAAAGAAAGGUGUGGUAAAUUGUCACACCUGCUACAGAGUUGGUUGAAGUCAGUGAUGAAUUAAUGAUCAAAAAAAGCCUGAACAGGGCUUCCUGCUGAUCCUGCACCUGUCUUGAGUGAGGGCUAACAACAAAAUGAUGUCUGGGGUGAACCAAAGUGAUUGUUUAACCUUUUGUAUCAACCAUAAAUGAUGACCAAAUGUAACCAAGACCCUCAUUAAGUGUUAUUUGCGUACUAACUCUCACGGCCCUCAGAAUGCAAAUGAAGAGAAAAGAUGGCAUGCCUUACAUGUAUGACCUCUGUCACCAACACCCAGCCUAUGACAUAGAGUUUUCAUUCUCUUUGGGAAGGACUAAAAAUUGUUAUAUAAAAAAAGAGGGGGUUUCACAGCAAAAUAGAAGAGAAAAAAGGAAGAAUUAAACAGGAGAAAAACACCUCUGUUUGGUCAGGGUCAGUUGAUGGAUUUUUUUCUCUCUCCCUCUAACAAAGGAUACUUUUAGGUGAGAUUUUUGCCUCCAACUGCAUUGGAACAGACCCAGAAAUAUUUUAAUGUAUAUAUCUAAUAAAUCUUUGUUACUAUACCUUCUCUCCAGACACACUCUGUAGUUUGUGUAUUUAUCACCAGCAACCUCAGACUGCUUUCCCUUUGCUUCAAUAAACCACACUCCUUGUGAACCUGGCUUCUGGAUGUUCUUACUGAAUUCAGCCAGACCUAUGGUAUCAGUAAAUCACACUAUUCAUGAAUCUGUCAUCAUGAAAGUUCUUGUUGAACAGGACCAAACUCAUGGUGCUGAAUUGGUAAUAAAUGGAAAUAAGGUCCAUCUGCACCCUGCCCCUCAGAGCUCUGAGUGCCACCAAGAAUGUUUAUUUUAUCCCAAGUUUCUGUCUGCUUCACGUAACAGGUGGUUACUUGGACUUUUUUUUUUUUUUUUUUCAAUUUGAUGCUUCAACAAGCCACUGGCUGCUUGAAAAUUACUGGUGGGAGUUCACAUUUAAGCCUGUUUUUGGAAGUGUCACUGUUAGGUGUUAUCUUAAAAGUCUUCCUCUUGCAUGUUCAGCCUUCAAUGAGAUGUUUUGGGUUACUUACUCAUGAUUGAGUUUUGUGGGUUGCCACUGGUUACCAACAAUUUAGUAAUAAUACAAGCUGUUGGUUCAUUAAACUGUUUCUGAAAGAAAAUCUAUACUAGCUAGCCUAUAUUGGCUCCUUUGAGCAUUUAUUUAUUUGUUGUGAUCACUCUUGCU
rnacentral:lncRNA from 1 species